rnacentral:lncRNA from 1 species
ACAACAUAUUAGCAAAUAGAAUUCAAUAAUGUGUAAAAAGACUUAUAUGCCACAGCCAAACAGGAUUUAUCCCAGGUAUGCAAGAUUGGCUCAACAUUCAAAAAUCAAUUAAUGUAAUCCAUCACAUCAACAGGCUAAAAAUGAAAAUUCACAUGAUCAUAUCAAUGGAUGCAGAAAAAUCAUUUGACAAAAUCGAACAUUCAUUCAUGAUAA